ensembl:snRNA U6 U6 spliceosomal RNA
GUGCUUGCUUCGGCAGCACAAAUUGGAAUGAUACAGAGAUUAGCAUGGCCCCUGCACAAGGAUGACAUGGAAAUUUGUGAAUCUUUCCAUAUUUGA